GGAGGGUGCAAGCGUUGUUCGGAAUUAUUGGGGGGCGUAAAGCGCGUGUAGGGCGGGCUUGGGCAAGUCGGGUGUGAAAGCCCGGGGCCCAACCCCGGAACUGCAUUCGAAACUGCCUCGCUAGAGUCCCGGAGAGGAAGGCGGAAUUCCCGGUGUAGAGGUGAAAUUCGUAGAUAUCGGGAGGAACACCAGCGGCGAAGGCGGCCUUCUGGACGGUGACUGACGCUGAGACGCGAAAGCGUGGGGAGCAAACAGGAUUAGAUACCCUGGUAGUCCACGCCGUAAACGUUGGGUGCUAGGUGUCGCGGGUAUUGACCCCUGCGGUGCCGGCGUUAACGCAUUUAGCACCCCGCCUGGGGAGUACGGUCGCAAAGGCUA
rnacentral:rRNA from 1 species